AAAAUUUGAAUUUUAAUAUUAUAUAUUAUGCGAAAAACAGAUAUUUAAUCAAUAGAUUAUUGACCAAUAAUUAAUAUAAGUAUAUUUAUAUAUGUGUAUGUCACUUCCACAUCCAAAAUAUAUAUAUUUUUUAAAGAAAUUAAACCUCCACCAUUUUCACGUUCACAUCUAUGUCUAUUUCACAUGCUUGGACUCGCCACUACUCUUCCUCUCCUUUUAACCACCGCUCCUCAGUUCUUUUUCUCUCGUCCCCAUCUCUCCCUCUGCCUCUCUUUUCUUUCUUUGGUGAAACCGAAAAAAGAAAAAUAAUCUAAUAAGAACUUUGUUUAUUUCAUUCUGUUUGUUUCAUGGCACUUCAUCAUCAUCAAUUCAUAUAGAAGAACACCAACCUUAUUAAAAGCGAUGAACAAUCUUCAAGAUUGGCCUGAACCAAUUGUUCGUGUUCAAUCCUUAUCAGAAAGCUGCCUUGAUGAAGUUCCUAAUCGAUAUAUCAAGCCACCGCUUGAAAGGCCAAGCAUAAAAUCUUCAUCUUCUUCUUCUUCUUUCGCAAGUGAUGAUGAUGUCAAUAUCCCUAUUGUUGAUCUUGGAGGUCUAUAUGGAAAAGAUGAUACUCUUCGCGCUUCAAUACUUGGCGAAAUUUCCAUAGCCUGUCACGACUGGGGAUUCUUCCAAGUUAUCAACCAUGGAAUUAAGCCUGAGUUGCUCGACCGAGGUCGCGAAAUAUGGAGAGAAUUCUUUCAUUUGCCGAUGGAGGAGAAGCAAAAAUAUGCAAAUUCUCCAAAGACCUAUGAAGGGUAUGGAAGCAGAUUAGGAGUAGAGAAAGGAGCCAUUCUUGAUUGGAGUGAUUACUACUUUCUUCACUAUCUUCCCUUGCCGUUAAAAGACUAUAAUAAAUGGCCUGCUCUCCCAUCUAAUUGCAGGGAAGUGAUUGAUGAAUAUGGUAGACAAGUUGUGGAGCUAUGUGGAAGGUUGAUGAAGGUGCUAUCAAUAAAUCUUGGGUUAGGAGAGAGACGUCUACAAGAUGCAUUUGGUGGUGAGAAUAUUGGGGCAUGUCUAAGAGUAAAUUUUUAUCCAAAGUGUCCACAACCUGAAUUGACCCUUGGUCUAUCAUCCCAUUCGGACCCUGGCGGCAUGACCCUUCUCUUGCCGGACGAUCAAGUCACCGGUCUUCAAGUCAGGCGAGGAAAUGAUUGGAUUACUGUGAAGCCAGCUCCACAUGCUUUUAUUGUAAAUAUUGGUGAUCAAAUUCAGGUAUUAAGCAAUGCAAUAUAUAGAAGUGUGGAGCAUCGAGUGAUUGUAAAUUCAGCAAAAGAACGUGUCUCACUUGCCUUCUUUUAUAAUCCAAAGGGUGAUAUACCCAUAGAACCAUUGAAGGAGCUUGUGACACCAGAGAGACCUUCAUUAUACCAAGCUAUGACUUUUGAUGAGUACAGACUUUUCAUUAGAACAAGGGGUCCCAAAGGCAAAUCGCAAGUGGAGUCUCUAAAAUCUCCAAGAUGAUGAAGAUAUUAUUUUAAGCUUUUGAUUUUAUUGUAAAUCAAUUGUAAACAAUCCCAUCAUUGCUUAUUAUUUGAGAUAAUUGCAUAUGUAUGUAAUCACGAGGGGAUUUGCCUAUAAGCCAUAAG
rnacentral:misc_RNA from 1 species